GCAAACUUGGUCAUUUAGAGGAAGUAAAAGUCGUAACAAGGUCUCCGUAGGUGAACCUGCGGAGGGAUCAUUAUGGAGUCCAUGCCCUCGGGCAGACCCUCCACCCGUUGUCAUCCCACGAUCGUUGCCUCGGCGGGCCGCGGGCCCCCCGCCGCCGGCCCCGCCGGCGCGCGCCCGCCCGAGGCCCCGCGAACCCUAUAUGUCGGUGCCGUCCGAGUACCACACAAUAGUUAAAACUUUCAACAACGGAUCUCUUGGUUCUGGCAUCGAUGAAGAACGCAGC
rnacentral:misc_RNA from 1 species